AAUGCCUAGGAAUCUGCCUGGUAGUGGGGGAUAACGUACGGAAACGGACGCUAAUACCGCAUACGUCCUACGGGAGAAAGCAGGGGACCUUCGGGCCUUGCGCUAUCAGAUGAGCCUAGGUCGGAUUAGCUAGUUGGUGAGGUAAUGGCUCACCAAGGCGACGAUCCGUAACUGGUCUGAGAGGAUGAUCAGUCACACUGGAACUGAGACACGGUCCAGACUCCUACGGGAGGCAGCAGUGGGGAAUAUUGGACAAUGGGCGAAAGCCUGAUCCAGCCAUGCCGCGUGUGUGAAGAAGGUCUUCGGAUUGUAAAGCACUUUAAGUUGGGAGGAAGGGUUGUAGAUUAAUACUCUGCAAUUUUGACGUUACCGACAGAAUAAGCACCGGCUAACUCUGUGCCAGCAGCCGCGGUAAUACAGAGGGUGCAAGCGUUAAUCGGAAUUACUGGGCGUAAAGCGCGCGUAGGUGGUUUGUUAAGUUGGAUGUGAAAUCCCCGGGCUCAACCUGGGAACUGCAUUCAAAACUGACUGACUAGAGUAUGGUAGAGGGUGGUGGAAUUUCCUGUGUAGCGGUGAAAUGCGUAGAUAUAGGAAGG
rnacentral:rRNA from 1 species